UACGGGGGGAGCAAGCGUUGUUCGGAUUUACUGGGCGUAAAGGGCGCGUAGGCGGCCAGCACAAGUCAGUUGUGAAAUCUCCGGGCUUAACUCGGAAAGGUCAACUGAUACUGUGCGGCUAGAGUGCAGAAGGGGCAACUGGAAUUCUCGGUGUAGCGGUGAAAUGCGUAGAUAUCGAGAGGAACACCGGCGGCGAAGGCGGGUUGCUGGGCUGACACUGACGCUGAUGCGCGAAAGCCAGGGGAGCGAACGGG
rnacentral:rRNA from 1 species